rnacentral:rRNA from 1 species
CCUACGGGCGGCAGCAGUGAGGAAUAUUGGUCAAUGGACGAGAGUCUGAACCAGCCAAGUAGCGUGAAGGAUGACUGCCCUAUGGGUUGUAAACUUCUUUUAUAUGGGAAUAAAAUGUUCCACGUGUGGGAUUUUGUAUGUACCAUAUGAAUAAGGAUCGGCUAACUCCGUGCCAGCAGCCGCGGUAAUACGGAGGAUCCGAGCGUUAUCCGGAUUUAUUGGGUUUAAAGGGAGCGUAGGUGGAUUGUUAAGUCAGUUGUGAAAGUUUGCGGCUCAACCGUUAAAUUGCAGUUGAAACUGGCAGUCUUGAGUACAGUAGAGGUGAGCGGAAUUCGUGGUGUAGCGGUGAAAUGCUUAGAUAUCACGAAGAACUCCGAUUGCGAAGGCAGUUCACUGGACUGCAACUGACACUGAGGCUCGAAAGUGUGGGUAUCAAACAGGAUUAGAUACCCCGGUAGUC